CACACCCGUCCCGUGACACCACUCACACCCGUCCCGUGACACCACUGCACACCCAUCAAAACGGCUGGAAUAAAAGUAGCAACAACCCCACAUGCCGGCAAAGAUACCGAGAAAUCGAGUCACUCGGCCGUUGCUGGGAGGGUAAAAUGGCUCCUCAAAAACGGUUUACGGCAGCUGUAAUAGACAAAAACUGCAAAGAGCUCAGCUGUCCUUCCACAAGAGAGCAACCGCACAAACUAGGGUGUGCUCACGCCGCAGACGCUGGUCAGCGACGAGGAGGAAGGAAGCCUCCAUCACACGACCUGGCGGAACCUGAGAAUUGGCAUGAGAAUCGCCUGCCCCGUGGGUACGUGUCGCAGGGUUCCACUCGUUCUUGAAAUCAUACGUUCUUGAAAUCACACAAGGAGGCCAAGGUCGGGGGGUGGUAUGGAAGGACAUGGGGGUCUGGGCGUGGAUGGGACCCGUGUCUGUGGCCUCAGUGUCAGGCCCUGGCUGGGAUCCCUACUAUAGCUGUGCAAGAUGCCCAGCUGUUGCCAGUAGGGUCUAUUUCAAAAGGGCUGGGAGAUCCCCUAUUUUCAACACUCUCAAGCCCUCCGGGGCAGUGCCAUGGCCUUCUCGGGUACUUUGUCUGCAGGAAUGAAAUGCAACCCUUCAGGCCGCUGGGGCCUGGGGCCCCUUCCCACCAGGCCCCUUCCCACCAACCUGCCAGUUGGCACAGAGGGUUCUGACCCUUUCCAAAACCCUUUCCAAACUGCAGUUCCAGCUCUUGAUGUCAGAGACCAGGCCCCGGGCCCCCUAGGCCUUGACCCUGUCCUGGGAAGGAGCAGAAAGCAAAAGCAGGAAUUUGGGAAAGAUGGGCAAUCCCACUGCAGGAGGCCUUCCCAGGAUCCCCACCCUCCCAGCCUCACUAAAUGCAGGGUUUGGGAGAGGGUGGGCCUGCCUGGGGACUGCAUUGCCCUAGCAAGGCCCAGGAGAGUGUGCAGGGACCAUGCUACCCGCACAGCCCAGCGCCCUCAGGGCCACACCCCAGCCCGUCCCUUCAGUCUGCUGCUGAGCUGCUCAGAGGUCGACCUCGGGGUCCAGUGUGACUUCUCUGCCUGGCACCACCUGGCCUCAGUCCCCAUGCUGGCCGCUGCCGUCCAUAUAGCCAAGGAAAACCAUGGCAGCCUCAGGCCCAGGGGGUCCAGGAAAGACCCCUGGGGCCCAGGGCAGUGGGCAGUGCCCUCCUGGAGUGGACGGGAGCCACCAACUGCUAGCAUCACCCUCAGUCUUGGCUGCCCGGGAGGUUUUCCAAAGGCCCGACCCCACUCCUCUUGGAGCUGCUGAUCCCUCUCUCCCAUCAGGCGCCUCAGGGACCCUCCUCCACCCAGAGGGUCUCUGUCUUCCCGGUUUUCCUGGCGUAAUUCAGACUUGGGGAGAGAAGAAUCAUCAUCCAUCACACACCCAGACCCAAAGGGACUCAAAGCCAGGAGGAGCCGGGUGGACCCAGAGGCCCUUACCCUGCCAGCCUAAGGGGCAUGGCCCAAGGUCUCCACCCCCAGCCCCCAGGGCACAGCUGUGUGCAGGUCACCAGAAGCCCCAAGUAAUGACAGCAGCCCAGACAGUCGGUACCGGGCCCUGGUGCAGCGUGAAGCCUCUGGCACCUGCCUGGGCUCAUUCCAGGGGCCAUGAGAGGGUCCUGUUAUGGCUGCACCAUCACACCC
rnacentral:lncRNA from 1 species